UGGGCGCAAGCCUGAUGCAGCCAUGCCGCGUGUGUGAAGAAGGCCUUCGGGUUGUAAAGCACUUUCAGUCGUGAGGAAGGUGGUAGUGUUAAUAGCACUAUCAUUUGACGUUAGCGACAGAAGAAGCACCGGCUAACUCCGUGCCAGCAGCCGCGGUAAUACGGAGGGUGCGAGCGUUAAUCGGAAUUACUGGGCGUAAAGCGCAUGCAGGUGGUUUGUUAAGUCAGAUGUGAAAGCCCGGGGCUCAACCUCGGAAUAGCAUUUGAAACUGGCAGACUAGAGUACUGUAGAGGGGGGUAGAAUUUCAGGUGUAGCGGUGAAAUGCGUAGAGAUCUGAAGGAAUACCGGUGGCGAAGGCGGCCCCCUGGACAGAUACUGACACUCAGAUGCGAAAGCGUGGGGAGCAAACAGGAUUAGAUACCCUGGUAGUCCACGCCGUAAACGAUGUCUACUUGGAGGUUGUGGCCUUGAGCCGUGGCUUUCGGAGCUAACGCGUUAAGUAGACCGCCUG
rnacentral:rRNA from 1 species